UACAGAGGGGGCAAGCGUUGUUCGGAAUUACUGGGCGUAAAGGGCGCGUAGGCGGCCGCCUAAGUCAGACGUGAAAUCCCUCGGCUUAACCGGGGAACUGCGUCUGAUACUGGAUGGCUUGAGAUUGGGAGAGGGAUGCGGAAUUCCAGGUGUAGCGGUGAAAUGCGUAGAUAUCGGGAGGAACACCAGAGGCGAAGGCGGCCACCUGGACGAACACUGACGCUGAGACGCGAAAGCGUGGGGAGCAAACAGG
rnacentral:rRNA from 1 species